rnacentral:rRNA from 1 species
AAAAAAAAAGCACUUCGGGAUAAGCCUGGGAAGCUGGGUCUAAUACCGGAUAGGAGCCAUUUUUAGUGUGAUGGUUGGAAAGUUUUUUCGGUGUAGGAUGAGCUCGCGGCCUAUCAGCUUGUUGGUGGGGUAAUGGCCUACCAAGGCGGCGACGGGUAGCCGGCCUGAGAGGGUGGACGGCCACAUUGGGACUGAGAUACGGCCCAGACUCCUGCGGGAGGUAGCAGUGGGGAAUAUUGCACACUGGGCGCAAGUUUUUUGUUU